AAUUGGAGGGCAAGUCUGGUGCCAGCAGCCGCGGUAAUUCCAGCUCCAAUAGCGUAUAUUAAAGUUGUUGCAGUUAAAAAGCUCGUAGUUGAAUUUCGGGGUUAGUAGGUUGGUCAUGCCUCUGGUAUGUACUGGUCUCACUGAUUCCUCCUUCCUGAUGAACCGUAAUGCCAUUAAUUUGGUGUUGCGGGGAAUUUGGACUGUUACUUUGAAAAAAUUAGAGUGUUUAAAGCAGGCUAACGCUUGAAUACAUUAGCAUGGAAUAAUGAAAUAGGACGUUCGAUCCUAUUUUGUUGGUUUCUAGGAUUGACGUAAUGAUUAAUAGGGAUAGUUGGGGGCAUUAGUAUUCAAUUGUCAGAGGUGAAAUUCUUGGAUUUAUUGAAGACUAACUACUGCGAAAGCAUUUGCCAAGGAUGUUUUCAUUAAUCAAGAACGAAAGUUAGGGGAUCGAAGACGAUCAGAUACCGUCGUAGUCUUAACCAUAAACUAUGCCGACUAGGGAUCGGAUGAUGUUAAUUUUUUAAUGACUCAUUCGGCGCCUUACGGGAAACCAAAGUGU
rnacentral:rRNA from 1 species